AACCAGUUCUUUACUCCGUUCCUCAAUAAAGGAACUCGUUUCAGGAAUCCGUUCCUUUUGGAACGCGUUCUUCCAAACACUGUUCACAUUUAAUCCCUUUUUCUUGCACAAUCAAGCAAUUUGCAACAAUUAAAAAACCUCGUUCGUAGUGUACUAAAAGUAAAGCAUAAUAUUCAAAAAAGGAAUGUAAAGCAUCACAUUCUUUUUUCAGAAAUUGUUGUUAAGCCUAUUGAUAAAGGAAGUUGGUUGGUUCUGAUGAUGCGGAUUACUAUAGAGAUAAACUUGUAUAUUGAGUACAUUUAUUAACGGAAAUAUAUAAUAAAACUUUUAGAUAUGAUUCUAAUAGUUUAACAUCUGUGAGAUCUUUUAAAUCAUAACCUUAUUGCUCAGGUUUAUGAAAAGCUAUUUAUAAAAAUUCAACGCUAAAAAAAUAAUGUAAGAUUAAAGGUAAUUCCUGUUUUAUUUAAAAGGUACGUUAAUGAUUAGUUCAAGUCUUUAAAGUUAAAAUUAGUUAAAAAAGAAUUAAAAUUGUUCUGUUUUUAUCUUCUGUUCUAUAUCUAAAAGCUAUUGAAAUAUUUAUUGCAUUAUUAUUCAUUUAUUUUAUAUGUUACGAAAGACCUACUAAGCCUGAAGUUUUACAGGUCGAAAUAUAUAUGUCAGCAAAAAAGUAAACAACUGUAUAAUAUAUAGAAUAGAAUACAAAUACAUGAAUAUUAUAUAUGUAUUUGAAAAAUAGUAUAUAUGUAUUAGUAAACUAAAUGACUAAACUUAUUUAAAACACUUUUAACAUGUUUAGUUACAAGUUAGUGUUAUGUUUUGAUGUAUCUCAACCAAAUAAGUGUUAAAAUUUCAGCAAAAUGUCAUAUCGCCAGGCUGUUUGGUUGGAAGAAACAAAAGUUUGAUAUUUUCUUGAGUUGUUAUUUUAUUUUGUGAUAUUAUAAUUUACAUUCACAAAAUAGUAAAUAAUUUACUUGUUAAAUUUAUUUUUCAUUGCUUUGGAUGUUUUGUUAUUCUUUUUACAGAUUGUUAUGAGGAUUGCAAAAAUUUUUAAUAACUGAAACUGAAGAAGACAUUGAUAAUUAGCAGAUAACAAAAAAGCGCAAAAGUACUGAUUAUACAACUCUAGUUUGUCAAUAUUUAUAUAGAAACUAAUAAUAUAUAAACUUAAAAUGAUAACAUAUACUAAAUAUAUAAACUGCUAAAAAAUAUGCAAAAAUAUAUAAACUUAUUAUUAAUCUAUAAUUUUGCAUUAUUCUAAUCUAAAUUAAAUUUUUUCAUAAUUUCAUCGGAGUUAAUAUUACUAGUAAUAUUACUAUAAUUACAGUAGAAAUGAUUAAUUAUGGAAAAAUUGCACAAAAAAUAAUGUUGUGUAUAUAUAUUUAUAUUAUGUAAUAUAUUAUAAAUUUAAAAGUAAUAGUCUUAUUUAGUUUGCUCUAAUUUUUAAGUAUAAAAAAAAGAAGAAAGUUUUAAUAAGUAAAUGAUAAACCAUUUUUACGGUAUAGUAAAAUAGUUUUUAUUUUUCAGUUGAGGAAGAAUUUUAUGUUAAUAUUAAUGCAAAAGGUUCGAAUAUUGACAGGUUAGCUAAUUUGAUGUUACAAUAAACAUAAUAUUAAGUAUGUGAAGAUAUAGCAUACAUCCAUGAUGCAUACAAGUAUAAAAAAAAAUUACAAAUACUCAAUUAUACAAAAAGAUUAUGGAUGUGGUACCACAAGUAUAUAUAAUUGAUUAUGCAAGUAAGUUGUCGUACUUUAAAUAUUUGAAGACUAAUAAUAAUUGUAAUAAACAUAUCUCUGUAAUUAACAGUAUACACUUGGAUUUACAUUUUAGUUAAAUCAUCACCACUUCAACAGCCAUCUUGUCUCAAGCAUUCAAUUGCAUUCUAAGAUAUCUUUAUUUAAAUCAAGUGUGACUACUAUACCAAAAUAAUGUAGAAUGGUCCAAUUAUGUAAGAUGUCUAAAUUUAUAUCUUUUAUAUAGAACUCCUUUACUUUAGGUAACUCCGGUUAAUUUUAUGACUUAUGAACAUAUUUAGCAAUAUAAUCCUUUUACGAUAGACUUUAAAAUCAAAUUUACAAUGCUUUAGUAAAUUUUCAUUUAAAAUAACUUUGCAUACAUAAUAUAUCUAUAUGGUUAUUUACAUUGUAUCUAACCCAUCAGUACUUGCAAAGUCUCCUUUUCUGUUAGCCUGAAAAUUGAGUUCUAAAAUACUAUUAUUCACUGUAUCAAAUACUAUAUCAAAAGACAAUCUAAUGGAUUGAUCAAGUAAUACUUAAUUUUUAGUAUUAGUUGCAUGUUAGUACAUAUAUGAUUUUUAUAUAAAAAGUUUAGUUAUUAUGAUUGAUUAGUUUUUAACUUUAAGAAUUUUAAGAUUUACAAUUUUAUUUUUGCAUGUUUAUUUAUAUUGUAGUAACACUGUCGGUAUUUCCACAACUUUUCAAUUGAAUAAGAAAGUUUCAAUCAAACAGGGUACUGAGUGUGCAUACUGCUCCUCAAGACAAUGGAUAAUGGGAAACUUGUAUUGAAAGAAGAUUGUACAUCUUCGGUACCCGCAAUACGGUAUUGUGCAUUGGUUCCCAUCUUAAAAUGGCUCUCUUCCGUAUAGGUGAAAAUAGAAAAGGUUAUGUCCUUUUUUCUAACUCUUAAGACGAAGAGGCUUAAUCGGUUCAAGCAAAGAUGAAUAUGAUCAUUAUGGAGCCGAUCAUGAUAGCGAAUACGAUAAUGCAUAUAAUAAUAAAUAAAAUGAUUUUACUUGUAUUUCAGAAUUAUAUAAAUAAAAAAUUAUCUGUUUAA